UAACUGAAGAGUUUGAUCAUGGCUCAGAUUGAACGCUGGCGGCAGGCUUAACACAUGCAAGUCGAGCGGGGGAAGGUAGCUUGCUACUGGACCUAGCGGCGGACGGGUGAGUAAUGCUUAGGAAUCUGCCUAUUAGUGGGGGACAACAUCUCGAAAGGGAUGCUAAUACCGCAUACGUCCUACGGGAGAAAGCAGGGGAUCUUCGGACCUUGCGCUAAUAGAUGAGCCUAAGUCGGAUUAGCUAGUUGGUGGGGUAAAGGCCUACCAAGGCGACGAUCUGUAGCGGGUCUGAGAGGAUGAUCCGCCACACUGGGACUGAGACACGGCCCAGACUCCUACGGGAGGCAGCAGUGGGGAAUAUUGGACAAUGGG
rnacentral:rRNA from 1 species